rnacentral:rRNA from 1 species
GACGAACGCUGGCGGCGUGCUUAACACAUGCAAGUCGAACGGAAAGGCCCUGCUUUUGUGGGGUGCUCGAGUGGCGAACGGGUGAGUAACACGUGAGUAACCUGCCCUUGACUUUGGGAUAACUUCAGGAAACUGGGGCUAAUACCGGAUAGGAGCUCCUGCUGCAUGGUGGGGGUUGGAAAGUUUCGGCGGUUGGGGAUGGACUCGCGGCUUAUCAGCUUGUUUGUGGGGUAGUGGCUUACCAAGGCUUUGACGGGUAGCCGGCCUGAGAGGGUGACCGGCCACAUUGGGACUGAGAUACGGCCCAGACGCCUACGGGAGGCAGCAGUGGGGAAUAUUGCACAAUGGGCGGAAGCCUGAUGUAGCAACGCCGCGUGCGGGAUGACGGCCUUCGGGUUGUAAACCGCUUUCGCCUGUGACGAAGCGUGAGUGACGGUAAUGGGUAAAGAAGCACCGGCUAACUACGUG